GAAAUGUAUGACAAAAGGAUGCCAGGGACCUGCAUUGCUUAACUUGCAGUGACCUGUGUGCUUUUUGUAGCCGCCUUUGUGAGCUCCACUGGCAGCCAUACCAGCUGUGAAAUCUUCCGAGCAGUCUGGAAAACUACAUCAUAAACAAGAUAUUAACAGUCAUAUGAGAAGAUAAGAAAAACAUGAUGUGAAUUCUGCUCUGUGCCAUCCUAGAAGAUAUUUUUUGCUUAGGAAGCAUUGCCAUUUAGAGUGUCUCCUGCUGUUCCCAAUCUUUAGCUCUCUGAGAUGUGUCUAAUGCCCUGAGAAGCAGGGUUUGUGAAGGUUUUAAGUUUUCUGUGGUAGUCUAAAACAGUUACUUGUUGGAUGAAACCCCAGCCUUUCCAGUCAUGUUUACUGGGGAGAAUUUACCUGCUGUAGAGGGUGGCAUUAACAGAGAGAAGGGUGUCCAGCAGACAGAUAAGCGCCUACAGCUCCAGACUUGUAUCCUUUCCAUAGGGAGGUAUAAGAAAGCAUAUUCUGAGAGAAUAAGCAAGGAACAGGGAGAGAAAGAAGUGGUGCGUGUGUGUGGAAUUUAAUGAGAGUGCUGUAUUACGAAGUGCUGAUCGCAUGUAUUUCAGUGAGUGAAAGGACGCAUACUUGGCUCUGAAAAGCCUGAUGGAAGGUUUAAUGGAAAAAAACUGGGAUGAUUUCAAACUUUUUUUUUUAUAAUACGAAUUAAAAAACAUUAGUGUGAGG
rnacentral:lncRNA from 1 species